GACGAACGCUGGCGGCGUGCUUAACACAUGCAAGUCGAACGGAAAGGCCCUUUCGGGGGUACUCGAGUGGCGAACGGGUGAGUAACACGUGGGUGAUCUGCCCUGCACUUUGGGAUAAGCCUGGGAAACUGGGUCUAAUACCGAAUACACCCUGUUGGUCGCAUGGCCUGGUGGGGGAAAGCUUUUGCGGUGUGGGAUGGGCCCGCGGCCUAUCAGCUUGUUGGUGGGGUGAUGGCCUACCAAGGCGACGACGGGUAGCCGGCCUGAGAGGGUGUCC
rnacentral:rRNA from 1 species